GAGAUCCUUUGCCACCAAGAGAUUACUGCCCACUUUGACAUGCACUUAAAUCAUCACUGAGUCCUCAACGGGUAUUUCAGUUUUUCCCUACUGGUAAUCUGCAUACACAUUUUGAGUUAUUAAUCACUGUGAAGUAACAACAAACCCCAGCCAGCCCCGGAGUUUUCUUAUCGCAACAUCCACCUGUGCCUCUUUAUCUGCUGAACUGCAUCUGUCUCCUCCCAAAGAUGCGAAUGCCUGGGGUACGGCUGCAUCAGGAGCCCAAACCUCGAACCGCGCAGCUUUCCUGUAAGACUGCUCCAUGCUAUGGCGUGCUUCAACCCCGCUCUGCGAGCUCUUCUCGCCAGCCUGCGUCCUCAUGGCAGGUUUAUCAGACCACUUUAAGGUCUGACAGCAAAUGCUGGGGCAUUUGGUCUGCCAGCUGGCGCGGCUCACAACGACCGGGCAGGGCAGCUGGCCUCCCCUGUGCCACCGGGGACCUACUGACUUGUUCCAGGCGGCAGCUUCUCGCCCAACAACAGCCCAAGUUUCGCCACAGCUCCUUUUUCCCGCGGCUCUCGGGAGCCAGAGCUGCCGACCGCCGCUAAGGCAGCCGCGGCCGCGGCUUGCCGGGCGCUGGCAGCGCGGGACGGGGUCUCGCCGCACAGCCGCCGGGAGCAGCGGGGAAAAGUCCCUCCCGCCGCCGCGGGUGAUGCCUCGCUGCCCUGGAAAGUUGGUGGCGCGUAAAGGGUUACGGGAGAGCCCCGGUCCGCCACCCCCGGCCACCCCCGCCGACCCGCGCCGCGCCAACCCACCCCACCCCAGCGCCCCUUACCUGGCAGAGCGCCGCGGUGGGCUUCCCCCCGCAUCCCCGGCGGGCCCCGCCGCGGCUCCUGGGGCGGGGGACGCCGAGCCGGGCCCGGGGGCGGCUGCCGGCGGCGCUCAGCGGGCCGCGCCGCGGGGGCUCAUCCCUGCCGGCGGCCGCGCGCUGCCCGCCCUGCCCUGCCUGCCCUGCCCGCGCGGGCAGCCCCGCGCGCGGCCGCCUCUCCACGCCCCUCCGCUCCGCUCCACUCCACUCCGCGCCGCGCCGGCGGGCAGGGGAGGGCGGGCAGGGGAGGGGGCUGCACCCGCUUCCCCUCCCUCCCUCCUCCGGACCGCCCGGCAGCGCGCACAGGCAGAGGCUCCGCACCGCACCGCCCCGCGCUGCCCCCGCCCCGCGCUGCCCGCACCACUUCGCGCCGCCCGCGCUGCCCGGACGCUGGGCAGGAUUUGCCGGGCAGGAAACUCUCCCUGGCCCUUUUUUUCUCUCCAAGGCGGCCCAGCCGGAGCGGGCAGAGACCCUCCCGUGGCGGGGUGAAGACCCGAUGGGGCUCCCCGCGGAAGACGAGUCGUCCCCACGCUGGGUGUUGGCGGGUGGCGCGGGGAUCCCCGGGGACCGGGUCAGGCCACCCCGCAGACGGGGGCUGAUGCGGGCGGCGGGUGCCUCCCACCCUCCUCACGCCCCGGUGCUGGGGCGCAACCAGAGCCCCCCUCACCCUGGCGACCCAGCCGGAUUUGGUAGCAGUGUGCAUUCGUUCGCUCAUUUGCCGGUGGCCUUUGCUCGUCAGAAAACACACUGUCAUGGGGACUAGUUCUUCAGCGCCAGGAAUCCUCCCCGCGCCGCCGUGGCCAGGGCUCACUGCCACGGGCAGGGACCAAAACCAAGCCCGGCGGGGCAGGAAUGCUAACAGAAGAGGCGGGAAGAGGACUGACUACCUGGGGCAGAGGAAAUGACACACGGGAGACCAUCAGGGAUGUUGAGGUGGCUGCUGUCUGAUAGCCACAUUCCUCCUGGUUUCUGCUUCUGUUCAACCCUUUGAAAUGGGUUGGACAUUUACUUUUGGCAACUUGUAAUGUUUCGUUUUUGUCAGGCGCUUGCCAACUAGGCUGAGUUUUUAUCACUUUAACUGCACUUCUACUGAUAUGACAGCUGCCAACAAGAGCCAGCUUAUGGUUCUGGAGACGCUACAACAGAUAUUAAUUUUUUAUAUCCCCAUUUUACUUUGUGCAUGUUUGGUGCUGCCCGGACAUUAUAAGGCAUCACAGCAGUUUUCUUACAUUGGUAUGAGCAGCACCCAGGUCCUGACAACCUCCUGAGCUCUGCAAGGAGCUGCCUCCCCAGCUCAGGGAUUUCCAAAUCUUCACCUCUGACUCCAAGAUUCACAAAGUGUAACUGCAGGGUCACAGUACCAGCAUGUCAGUCAGCAGCUCGGAACGACCCCACUUGGCAGUGAGUGGGCUACAAGGAACAGCGGAGCUCAGGUCUCUGUGCUGCAAUUGUGUCGAAAGAGGAAAAUAAAUCCCUGGGAAUGCUGGUAUUGCCUCUGUUCACAGAGGCCUGCCCGGCUGUGACAGAGAGUCGAGGGCUAUGACGUUGCCUUUAAACCUCGGGAAGCACAACAGCAUAGUCAUCACUUUUGAUGUUUAGCAUUUUGGACUUGCAUUUGCUGUUUUAGGAGUAUCCAGAUCUUGUGUGUCCAAAAAUACUGGUAUUUCUCAAGCCUUUUACAAUAUCCUGACAGCUCUAGCCCCCUUAAUCUAAUUUUAGGAAACUUUGUAGGGAUUUUAUAUUUAUAAACAGUUGGUGCUUAAAUAUUAUUUCCCUCACCAUAGCAACAGCUCCCCAUCAUCGCAUUCGGUAUACAGUGCUAGUGCACUGGUGUAUCCUGUUUUGAGUGAGAAAGCGCUGAAGCCACUCUUUCUCGUGCUUGUUUUCCUGCGCCAGACAAAGGACAAGGGCUGAGAUUCCUGACUGUCCUAAGUUCUUCCUGGAGCUGCUGGAAACACACUGGAGGUCCUGGGAUUUCUGUCACUGGUGUUCCUCAGGUGAUGUGCCUGCUCAAGUCAUUCCUUUCCACAGACACGAGCUGCUGAUUCAUCUGCUGUGGCACAACUGACCUUGUACCUACGGACUCGUAGCACCUGUACAAUAGCCCUGAGUGCCACCCCCAUGCAGCACACAGGCCUCCAGCAGCUCGGGGUGCCCGUGGUGUGUGCCUCAAACUUGCUUGGCACCUCCAGCGAGCGGUGGAGAGGAACUGGGAGUGGGCACCCAGUUGGUGUGCCCCACAACUUGGAGCAAUCACAGGGUGACUGGACACAUACUUCCUGGUGUUGAGGGUUGUCCCCCUGCUUGUGGGACUGGCACGGGUGCCUGGAGAACCUCCAAACAUCAGCAAUGUGCAUCGAGUGUUUACACAACACCUGGGCUUAAAAUGGUGAUGCUGAACCAGGGGCAGGCAAAGUGAUAUGGCUGUAGAGGCUAUCUCAUACAAAGGAAAGAAUUUUGAGAGAAUGAUGAAAAAAAUGAGGAAUAAAAGCAUGGCUAAAGGACAGACAGAUGCUUCUCAUAACUUCAUCUGAGCAUGAUCACAUUUUCGGAUGUUCCCUGGUAUUUUAAGUGUUAAUCUAGAGAGAUGCUGUUGGUUUGACAGUUUUCACAUUAUAGCUCUGUAUCUCUGACCAGUGAGUAUUAAACUAUUAAUUAGGC